ACCAAACAUCCAUCAUUAAGCUUAAAAACCAGAUCAGAGCGAGGUGUGGUGUGUAAAGAAGAAAUGUACGCCCCAGCUCCCCAGCGGUUUUCAUACGACUCUUACGUUGAACAUGUCAGACACCGGCACGGGGAGAGAGGCUGCCUCUAUGCUUGUUUGUUCACGGUGUGUUGCUGCUGUUGCUGCUAUGAAACCUGCGAGUGCUGUCUGGACAUCCUUUGCUGCAAAUGUUUCUGAACUCUUGUAUGCAUAAUGUAUGUAUGUAUGUGUGUGUGUCUGACUGUCUGUUAUGUUGUGAUUUUUUUUUUUUUUUGAAUGACGAGUGAAAAACUCAAAACCACUAUCUGAGAGUGUGCACAGGUUAAUCCCGUCUUAUGAUCUUAACUGACAAAAGACCACAGGCCAGGUAGUGAAUUUGUGAUGUGAAAUGUGUAAUGAUAAAUAAAAUUUGUUUUAAAAAGUCA